CUGUAAUUGAAGAUCUUAAAAUUCAAGCAGCAAGAGCUUCUCUAGGUACUGAGUGUUGACUUCAAGGAUCAUUUAAGGUGAGGAGCUGUGUUCACAGAGAGGUUAAAUCACCUGCUCAAAGUCACGGGGAAAAAGAGAAUUCAGACACUCCACCUGGCAAGGAC